rnacentral:rRNA from 1 species
UACGAGGGGGGCAAAUGUUGUUCGGAUUUAUUGGGCGUAAAGCGCGUGUAGGCGGUUUCUUAAGUCUGAUGUGAAAGCCCUGGGCUCAACCCAGGAAGUGCAUUGGAUACUGGGAAACUUGAAUACGGGAGAGGGUAGUGGAAUUCCUAGUGUAGGAGUGAAAUCCGUAGAUAUUAGGAGGAACACCGGUGGCGAAGGCGGCUACCUGGACCGAUAUUGACGCUGAGACGCGAAAGCGUGGGGAGCAAACAGG